rnacentral:snRNA from 1 species
CUCCCUUCGGCGGUAGGUAUACUAAAAUGGGAACGAUACAGAGAAGAUUAGCAUGGCCCCUGCGAAGGAUGACACGCAAAAUCGUGAAGAAUUCCAUAUUUUU